rnacentral:tRNA from 1 species
GGGGACUUAGCUCAGUGGUAGAGCGCUUGCCUAGCAAGUGCAAAGGCCUGGGUUCAGUCCUCA